UACCAGGAUUCCUCAGUAGCGGCGAGUGAAGAGGUAAAGCCCAAGAUGUUAAUCUGGCAUAAAGUGCUGGAAUUGUAAUCUAGAGGAGCUCUCAGAAACAGACAUUGAGUCAUAAGUCCUUUGGAAAAAGGUACCAGAGAGGGUGACAGUCCCGUCUUCGGAUUCAAUGUCGUGUAUGAGUGCUUUCCAAGAGUCGGGUAGUUUGGGAAUGCUGCCCUAACAGGAGAUAAACUUCCUUCUAAGGCUAAAUAUUUAUAGGAGACCGAUAGCAUACAAGUACUGCGAAGGAAAGAUGAAAAGAACUUUGAAAAGAGGGUUAAAAGACUUGAAAUCGUUGAAAGGGAAGCGGUAGAAGAGAAUUACUCUGAAACAAACUCGAUGCGUACCUAAGCUACAGGAGGAGGAGUACCUAACAGGGCUUACUUCUUGGAGUGAAAGUAUUCAUCUGUUGUUUUAGAUGGGCAAAAUGAGGUUAUGCUGAGGGAAUAGGGUGAAACCAGAUUGGUUAACCAAACAGCCGCAGCAUAGCCUGAGGGAUCUUAGGAUGAUUUUGUCAAAAUGGCUUUUACCGACCCGUCUUGAAACACGGACCAAGGAGUCUAUCUAUUAUGCAAGUGUGAGGGUGUACAAACCCGAACGCAAACCGAAAGGGAGUAAAAGGUGUGAGGCGUAAGCUGCAACAUCGGCCAUCCUUGAUCCUCUGGUGAAGGGUAUGAGCAAGAGCAUAUUGGAUAGGACCCGAAAGAUGGUGAACUACACUUGAGUAGGGUGAAGCCAGGGGAAACUCUGGUGGAGGCUCGUAGCGGUACCUGACGUGCAAAUCGUUCGUCAACUGCGUGUAGGCGA
rnacentral:rRNA from 1 species